GACUUCUUUUUUCAAAAGCCCAUACAAUCAAUAACAUUGGACCCAUUCUUAUUGGACUUCAAAUUAUUGGGCAUCGGUUCGGUUUCGUUCAAAUCCCUUUGACCCGCUCGGCGUUCCGGCGGGUCUCUUCUCCGGCACGGUAAUCUGAACUUCCAACACUCCUUCCGAAUUCCUUCAGACAACAAUACUUUUGCGCUUUCACAGAGCUUAGGUGGGUACUCCUCGGAAGUCCAAUGGAGGGCGCCAACCCAGGCCAUAGCCCAUAAGAGCCUUCUGAUCGACCCAUUGACCCCAUCCAUCGGCAUCCUAUGUUCACCGUAUUUUCUAAUUGGGGACGAAUGUUCCAACAUAGCCAAUUCCAACAAUGAAGAACGCUCCCGCUUGCAGGAACAGAACCAUGAAGUGAUGCAUAAAUCUAGCCUCAAAGACGCCACCCAUAGUUUGGAAUUAUGUGAAUAUAGAACAUAACACGUUUUGAGCACAUCCAAGGGUAACACCGUCAUCAACUCUUGGAAUUGUCAUCUAAAUUGUCGAUUCUUGUGUGGGAUACUUGCAGUCCCAAGUCGUGAUGGAUAUGUUAGUGAGCGUCUAAUUCAAUGUGUUACCCAAGACCAGCAAUUACUAGGAGGAAGAAUCAAGUUUGUUGUAUAUGAUCUGUUCUUUCCAUUUCUAAGUGCAGAUUCAUGAAUCUUUUCCUGCUUCAAGGUAUUUAGCUUUUUUUUCAUGUUUCCCCCCAAAAGGUGAUCUAUGUCUUGUUCAUGUCAUAUGCAUCACCUAGGUGAUGUCAAUAUCUGAUAAAUUAGAAGAGUAAUUACUUCUGUCCCCUAGGUUUGUGAUCUAUUGCCCUUGAAGUUAGGCAUGACUUCCGGUAGGGCUUGUUUCAGAUGAUUUUCAUUGUGCUAGUGCUUGAGACUUUAGUGGCUCGUCGUAGCCAUAGGUUUGUCUUAGCUGUGUUCGGUUGUGAGCUGGGGUAGCACCGUUAGUCUGGUGGAAAUUUUUCUUGUACAUAGAUUCGCACUAUAUUUGUAGAGAUUAUGAUAACAGUAGUUUCAGCUUACGAAGAUAUGACCUUGGAUAGGAGGUUGUGGAGGAUACAGAUAAUAGGAUAAGGGUAGAAGGUUAGUAGGUAGAAGUGCAUUUCUUGUUGUCAAUUCAUACUAGUAGUCAUAGUAUUACUCUUGUAGUUUCUUGUCCUUCAAUUUCUGUUGUUUCUUGUAUUUCGAUUAUCAUAUUAUUUUUGUUGUAGUACAAUUCUGUUACUAUCUGUUAUUUUUGUUACUAUUUGUUAUUUCUUGUACUUCCAUCACUAAACAUUGUUGUAAGUCAAAAUUAUAGUAUUUAAGUAAAGAAAAACUAGGCAGAUCCAUUAUCCAUCGAGUUUUGGAGAGAGUCGCUGAUCGUUCAAUAGAACUAGACAAUAAACAAUAGCUCUUUGGUGUCAUUCUUUAUGUAUGUUGAAUUCUACAGGAUAUGUUGUAGCUACUGAACUUGAAAACAUGAAAUUAAUAACACUAUCAUCCAGUUAAUCAAAUAUGAAUGAAUUUUAGUGUGCUUGUAAGCUGUAGCAUGUAUGGCAGAUCAAAUAUUUCUUGUUUCUUCUCUCCACCUUCUCAAGGAAAAGAUUACCUAACAUUUGCUGCAACU